GUGAGACAGUUCGGUCUCUAUCUACUGUGGGCGUUAGAAAUUUGAGUGGAUCUGACUCUAGUACGAGAGGACCGAGUUGGACUAACCUCUGGUGUACCAGUUGUUCCGCCAGGAGCAUUGCUGGGUAGCUACGUUGGGAAAGGAUAAGCGCUGAAAGCAUAUAAGCGCGAAACCUACCACAAGAUGAGAUUUCUUUAAAGGGUCGUGGAAGAUGACCACGUUGAUAGGCUACAGGUGUAAAGGCAGUAAUGUCAUAGCCGAGUAGUACUAAUAACCCAUAGGCUUAUUGUA
rnacentral:rRNA from 1 species